ACGAUGAUCCCUAGCUUGCUGGGGGGAUUAGUGGCGAACGGGUGAGUAACACGUGAGUAACCUGCCCUUGACUCUGGGAUAAGCCUGGGAAACUGGGUCUAAUACCGGAUAUGACCAUCUGGCGCAUGUCAUGGUGGUGGAAAGCUUUUGUGGUUUUGGAUGGACUCGCGGCCUAUCAGCUUGUUGGUGGGGUAAUGGCCUACCAAGGCGACGACGGGUAGCCGGCCUGAGAGGGUGACCGGCCACACUGGGACUGAGACACGGCCCAGACUCCUACGGGAGGCAGCAGUGGGGAAUAUUGCACAAUGGGCGAAAGCCUGAUGCAGCGACGCCGCGUGAGGGAUGACGGCCUUCGGGUUGUAAACCUCUUUCAGUAGGGAAGAAGCGAAAGUGACGGUACCUGCAGAAGAAGCGCCGGCUAACUACGUGCCAGCAGCCGCGGUAAUACGUAGGGCGCAAGCGUUAUCCGGAAUUAUUGGGCGUAAAGAGCUCGUAGGCGGUUUGUCGCGUCUGCUGUGAAAGACCGGGGCUCAACUCCGGUUCUGCAGUGGGUACGGGCAGACUAGAGUGCAGUAGGGGAGACUGGAAUUCCUGGUGUAGCGGUGAAAUGCGCAGAUAUCAGGAGGAACACCGAUGGCGAAGGCAGGUCUCUGGGCUGUAACUGACGCUGAGGAGCGAAAGCAUGGGGAGCGAACAGGAUUAGAUACCCUGGUAGUCCAUGCCGUAAACGUUGGGCACUAGGUGUGGGGGACAUUCCACGUUUUCCGCGCCGUAGCUAACGCAUUAAGUGCCCCGCCUGGGGAGUACGGCCGCAAGGCUAAAACUCAAAGGAAUUGACGGGGGCCCGCACAAGCGACGGAGCAUGCGGAUUAAUUCGAUGCAACGCGAAGAACCUUACCAAGGCUUGACAUGAACCGGAAAGACCUGGAAACAGGUGCCCCGCUUGCGGUCGGUUUACAGGUGGUGCAUGGUUGUCGUCAGCUCGUGUCGUGAGAUGUUGGGUUAAGUCCCGCAACGAGCGCACCCCUCGUUCUAUGUUGCCAGCGGUUYCGGCCGGGAACUCAUAAGGAGACUGGCCGGGGUCAACUCC
rnacentral:rRNA from 1 species